UACAGAGGGUGCGAGCGUUGUCCGGAAUCACUGGGCGUAAAGGGCGCGUAGGCGGCUUGAUAAGCGUGCGGUGAAAGCCCGGGGCUCAACCCCGGGUCGGCCGUGCGAACUGUCGAGCUGGAGCACUGUAGAGGCAGGUGGAAUUCCGGGUGUAGCGGUGGAAUGCGUAGAGAUCCGGAAGAACACCGGUGGCGAAGGCGGCCUGCUGGGCAGUAGCUGACGCUGAGGCGCGACAGCGUGGGGAGCAAACAGG
rnacentral:rRNA from 1 species